rnacentral:rRNA from 1 species
UACGGAGGAUGCAAGCGUUAUCCGGAAUGAUUGGGCGGAAAGCGUCCGCAGGUGGCUAUGUAAGUCUGCUGUUAAAGAGUGAGGCUCAACCUCAUAAAAGCAGUGGAAACUACAUGGCUAGAGUGCGUUCGGGGCAGAGGGAAUUCCUGGUGUAGCGGUGAAAUGCGUAGAUAUCAGGAAGAACACCGGUGGCGAAAGCGCUCUGCUAGGCCGCAACUGACACUGAGGGACGAAAGCUAGGGGAGCGAAUGGG